CGGGACGGGUGAGUAAUGUCUGGGAAACUGCCUGAUGGAGGGGGGUAACUACUGGAAACGGUAGCUAAUACCGCAUAACGUCGCAGACCAAAGAGGGGGACCUUCGGGCCUCUUGCCAUCGGAUGUGCCCAGAUGGGAUUAGCUAGUAGGUGGGGUAACGGCUCACCUAGGCGACGAUCCCUAGCUGGUCUGAGAGGAUGACCAGCCACACUGGAACUGAGACACGGUCAG
rnacentral:rRNA from 1 species